AGGAUGAUGAUGGAGAGAAAAUGUCGGAUUCUGAAUGAAAUUCAAACAUGAAAUCUCAUGUUUUUAAAGACUACUCUAACACUAUUGAACUUAAGUUCAUUGUUAACACUAAUCUUUUUAUAUAAAGCAAAUUUAUAGAUUAAAAGCAUAAUUAAUUAAUUGAAAACCUUUCUAAUAGUAUUAUAAUAUUUAAACCUUCCUCUCACUCUUUAUUUCUCUCCCUCACACAUAAAUUUAUGGCAUGAGAUAAGUGAGUAAUCAAUGACAAGAAUAUUAUGUUAUUAAAAUCAAAUCACUAAACAAAAUCCCUAACCUAAAUAACUAAAUUAGGAUGAAUUAAGGAUAUAAUUACAUAUAAGGCCAUAAUUAAUUAAUUGGAAACCUCUAUAAUAUUACAAGAAUAGGAAAUGGCAAGAGCAAGGAUCACUAAUAAUGUCAAUUGGGUUGAUAAGUCUGAGAAAGGAGAUGGAUAGGUGAUUUACAAUGCAAGAGUAAAAGAACAAGAGAGAGAGGUAAAUUAUUAUUAAGAGAUUCAAAGAGUUGGAGCUCUCUCAGCAGAACCAGAAAGGACAGUAAGCAAAUUGUUGGCAAAAGGAUCACUGAGGUGCUUGGCAAGGUUUUCCACAGGUCCU
rnacentral:misc_RNA from 1 species